rnacentral:rRNA from 1 species
CCGACGGUGAGGGGUGAAGCCCUGGGGCGCAAACGGGAUUAGAUACCCCGGUAGUCCAGGGUGUAAACGCUGCGGGCUUGGUGUUGGGGGUCCUUUGAGGGCGCCCAGUGCCGGAGAGAAGUUGUUAAGCCUGCUGCUUGGGGAGUACGUCCGCAAGGAUGAAACUUAAAGGAAUUGGCGGGGGAGCACCGCAACGGGAGGAGCGUGCGGUUCAAUUGGAUUCAACACCGGACAACUCACCAGGAGCGACGGUUACAUGAAGGCCAGGCUGAUGACCUUGCCUGAUUUUCCGAGAGGUGGUGCAUGGCCGUCGUCAGUUCGUACCGUAAGGCGUUCUCUUAAGUG